rnacentral:rRNA from 1 species
AAUGAACGUUGGCGGCAUGGAUUAGGCAUGCAAGUCGAGCGGUAAGGCCCCGCAAGGGGUACACGAGCGGCGUAAGGGACAGUAAUGUGUAGGUACGUACCUCCGGGCCUGGGAUAGCUGCGGGAAACUGCAAUUAAUACCAGAUGAUGUCUCCGGACCAAAGGUGUGAUUCCGCCGGGAGAGCGGCCUACAUCCUAUUAGCUAGUUGGCGGGGUAAUGGCCCACCAAGGCUCAGAUGGGUAGCAGGUGUGAGAGCACGACCUGCGUCACUGGGACUGAGACACUGCCCAGACACCUACGGGUGGCUGCAGUCGAGAAUCUUCGGCAAUGAGCGCAAGCUUGACCGAGCAAUGCCGCGUGCGGGAAGAAGGCCUUCGGGUUGUAACCGACUGUCAGAGGAACGAAAUGCCAGUGGGUACGUCUCAUUGGCUUGACUGAUCCUCAAAGGAAGGGUAGGGCUAAGUUCGUGCCAGCAGCCGCGGUAA